GAUGAAGAACGUAGCAAAAUGCGAUAAGUAAUGUGAAUUGCAGAAUUCAGUGAAUCAUCGAAUCUUUGAACGCACAUUGCGCCUCCUGGUAUUCCGGGAGGCAUGCCUGUUCGAGCGUCAUUAAAAUCACUCAAGCUUAGGUUUACCUAUUGCUUGGUCUUGGAGAUGGAAGCCAAUUUAUUGGAAUCCUCUUCGAAAUUCAAUGGCGAAGACCCUUGCUCUCCCAAGUGUAGUAAUAACUUAUGUCACUGAAGGAAGCGAGAAAUCUUCUGCCGUAACCCCCAUAUUUUCUAUGAUUGACCUCGGAUCAGGUAGGGAUACCCGCUGAACUUAAGCAUAUCAAUAAGCGGAGGA
rnacentral:misc_RNA from 1 species